AAUCAACGCUGGCGGCGUGCCUCAGACAUGCAAGUCGAACGAUUAAAGCUCUCUUCGGAGAGUGUAUAGAGUGGCGCACGGGUGAGUAACACGUAAGUAAUCUACCCUCGAGUGGGGAAUAACGUCCGGAAACGGACGCUAAUACCGCAUAAUGCAGCGGCACCGCAAGGUGACAGUUGUUAAAGGAGAAAUUCGCUUGAGGAGGAGCUUGCGGCAGAUUAGCUUGUUGGUAAGGUAACGGCUUACCAAGGCUACGAUCUGUAACCGGUCUUAGAGGACGGUCGGUCACACUGACACUGAAUAACGGGUCAGACUCCUACGGGAGGCAGCAGUCGGGUAAUUUUGGGCAAUGGGCGAAAGCCUGACCCAGCAACGCCGCGUGAAGGAUGAAGUAUUUUCGGUAUGUAAACUUCGAAAGAAUAGGAAGAAUAAAUGACGGUACUA
rnacentral:rRNA from 1 species